rnacentral:lncRNA from 1 species
CAUGAACCUGAUCGAUUAAUUUAAUGGGAAUAAAAAAAAAAAAAAACUUAAAAAUAAUAUUUCUCAUGUUGGCAUCCCGACAGAAACACACGUGGAUAAAUUAUUUGCUGGUCUUUGGAUGCAACGAGCCCUCAGGCCCUUCUCAUGGCGGCAACGGAACUAACGUUCAAAAUUCUUGUUUAGUAUUUCUCCUUCCUCUUUUUUUUUUUUUUUUCUUUCUUUUUAAUUUUUAAGAAAUGACACCCUUAAAAUUCUCUGUCUUAUUUCUUACAGCGAAUCAUCAGCUUUCUUUGCCGGCUGUCUGAAACAAUUUUUCGAUACUAUAUGGAACAUUUUCUUGUUCAUGCAAAUCUUUAAUUUAUUUCUCCCUACGACUAAUCCAAAGUCACAUAUAUGCUAAAUGGGCUUAUAUAUAUUUCCCUUAAUUCCAAUAUUGGAAUACAUUGUUCCUCUCAAACAUCGCCAAAUCAGAGGAUUUGGGGAAUAUUUUGAGGGGUCCUGGCAAAUCUUUCAUUUCUGGGCUAUUCAAGUUGUAAACCUGAG